UACGUAGGGGGCAAGCGUUGUCCGGAAUCAUUGGGCGUAAAGCGCGUGUAGGCGGCUUGGUAAGUCUGCUCUGAAAGCCCGGGGCUCAACCCCGGGAGGCGGGUGGAUACUGUCAAGCUCGAGUCCGGAAGAGGAGUGUGGAAUUCCUGGUGUAGCGGUGAAAUGCGCAGAUAUCUGGAGGAACACCGGUGGCGAAGGCGGCAUCCUGGACCGACACUGACGCUGAGGAGCGAAAGCCAGGGGAGCAAACGGG
rnacentral:rRNA from 1 species